UAAUUCCAGCUCCAAUAGCGUAUAUUAAAGUUGUUGCAGUUAAAAAGCUCGUAGUUGGAUAUCUGCUGGAAGCAAUCAGUCCGCCCUUUUCGUAAGGGUGUGCACUUGAUGAAUUCUGGCAUGAUUUCAUCCUAAUAAUAAUAUAUUAUUAUAUUAGGUUGAUUCCUAAUAUAAUAAUAUUUAUUAUUAUGGCCAAUAAAUUUAAU
rnacentral:rRNA from 1 species